UACGUAGGUGACAAGCGUUGUCCGGAUUUACUGGGCGUAAAGAGCGCGCAGGCGGUCGUUCAAGUCGAGUGUGAAAGCCCCCGGCUCAACUGGGGAGGGUCAUUCGAUACUGAUCGACUCGAAGGCAGGAGAGGGUAGUGGAAUUCCCGGUGUAGUGGUGAAAUGCGUAGAUAUCGGGAGGAACACCCGUGGCGAAGGCGGCUAUCUGGGCUGAAACUGACGCUGAGGCGCGAAAGGCUAGGGGAGCAAACAGGG
rnacentral:rRNA from 1 species